rnacentral:rRNA from 1 species
AAACGGAGGAAAAGAAACCAACCGGGAUUGCCUUAGUAACGGCGAGUGAAGCGGCAAAAGCUCAAAUUUGAAAUCUGGUACCUUCGGUGCCCGAGUUGUAAUUUGGAGAGGGCAACUUUGGGGCCGUUCCUUGUCUAUGUUCCUUGGAACAGGACGUCAUAGAGGGUGAGAAUCCCGUGUGGCGAGGAGUGCGGUUCUUUGUAAAGUGCCUUCGAAGAGUCGAGUUGUUUGGGAAUGCAGCUCUAAGUGGGUGGUAAAUUCCAUCUAAAGCUAAAUAUUGGCGAGAGACCGAUAGCGAACAAGUACAGUGAUGGAAAGAUGAAAAGAACUUUGAAAAGAGAGUGAAAAAGUACGUGAAAUUGUUGAAAGGGAAGGGCAUUUGAUCAGACAUGGUGUUUUGUGCCCUCUGCUCCUUGUGGGUAGGGGAAUCUCGCAUUUCACUGGGCCAGCAUCAGUUUUGGUGGCAGGAUAAAUCCAUAGGAAUGUAGCUUGCCUCGGUAAGUAUUAUAGCCUGUGGGAAUACUGCCAGCUGGGACUGAGGACUGCGACGUAAGUCAAGGAUGCUGGCAUAAUGGUUAUAUGCCGCCCGUCUUAA